rnacentral:rRNA from 1 species
UACGAAGGGGGCUAGCGUUGUUCGGAAUCACUGGGCGUAAAGGGCGCGUAGGCGGCUUUGUAAGUCGGGGGUGAAAGCCUGUGGCUCAACCACAGAAUUGCCUUCGAUACUGCAUGGCUUGAGACCGGAAGAGGUAAGUGGAACUGCGAGUGUAGAGGUGAAAUUCGUAGAUAUUCGCAAGAACACCAGUGGCGAAGGCGGCUUACUGGCCCGGCACUGACGCUGAGGUGCGAAAGCGUGGGGAGCAAACAGG